UACAGAGGUGGCAAGCGUUGUUCGGAAUUACUGGGCGUAAAGGGCUCGUAGGCGGCCAACUAAGUCAUACGUGAAAUCCCUCGGCUUAACCGGGGAACUGCGUCUGAUACUGGAUGGCUUGAGUUCGGGAGAGGGAUGCGGAAUUCCAGGUGUAGCGGUGAGAUGCGUAGAUAUCUGGAGGAACACCGGUGGCGAAGGCGGCAUCCUGGACCGAUACUGACGCUGAGGAGCGAAAGCCAGGGGAGCAAACGGG
rnacentral:rRNA from 1 species